UGGGGAAUAUUGCACAAUGGGCGCAAGCCUGAUGCAGCAACGCCGCGUGAGGGAAGACGGUCUUCGGAUUGUAAACCUUUGUCUUUGGUGAAGAAGAAAGUGACGGUAGCCAAGGAGGAAGCCACGGCUAACUACGUGCCAGCAGCCGCGGUAAUACGUAGGUGGCAAGCGUUGUCCGGAAUUACUGGGUGUAAAGGGAGCGCAGGCGGGACAGCAAGUUGGAUGUGAAAUACCGAGGCUUAACCACGGAGCUGCAUCCAAAACUGUUGUUCUUGAGUGAAGUAGAGGUAGGCGGAAUUCCGAGUGUAGCGGUGAAAUGCGUAGAUAUUAGGAGGAACACCAGUGGCGAAGGCGGUCUACUGGACGAUAACUGACGCUGAGGCGCGAAAGCGUGGGGAGCAAACA
rnacentral:rRNA from 1 species